GCUGUUGCUGCUGAUUCUCGGCUCCAUUCGAUUUAAGUUGAAUCACUUUCUUUCUCUCCUUUUCCCACAAUCAAGUUUUAAUAACCACUUCCUUCUUUCUCUGGCCCUCAGGGCACGGAUGUUGAAAAGGGUCACGACUGAAAUAUAUCCUGACCACUGAGGAGGAAGUCAUCCAACAGGAAGUGCUGUGAUGGAGAUUUCAUUUAAAAAGAGUGUUUCAAGGAAACGUCUCUGAGGAGGACGGAGGUGGGUUUGACAGUGAGCUGGUGAAGAGCUGGUGAAGAGCUGGUGUGAAGCACGUGAAGAUGAAGCUCGAGGGUCAGUGUGUGGUUCAACAUCAUGACCUCACUGAUGGUCCUCACAGAUUUUGAAGUCUCUCCCUCAUCAUGUGUUCUUUUCACAAAGUGUUUUCAGUCUGGUUACCAGACAGACAACAUGGAGGACGUCC